GAGAGUUUUGGGUUUGAUUUGGUCUAAUAUCCAUUUAUUUGUCUUUUUUUGCAGUCCACAGUGUCCAUAUAACUCUCUCCAGCAGCAAAUUCCAUAAGGGAUUAUUGUCUAUCAGCUUUCUUCACUGACCAGUAGCCUUGGCAGCCCUGUGCAAUAGACUGAGGACGGAGGACAGGGAAACCGCAGCCGGGUCUAACCAUGGACCACCAGCUGAAGAUGAAAGCCAAACAGUUUGACCACCUUGCAAGACUCUUAACUGGCAAACGCAUCCUUUAGAACUUCAGAAUUUUCUACAUAAUUUUCAUCAUUCUCUUUCUUCCUUUUUGAUAUGGAAGGUGCUCUGAUCUCUUGAUCAUUUCGGGUGGCUUUCCAGCUUUAUAAUAACCUGUUUCAAACAGCUUUAUAAUAACCUGUUUCAACUUUACAAAUUAUUCCUAAGUGGUCACAUUAUAUUAAUAAUUUUUCCCAAUCACUUUGGCUAAUAAGCCCUAGGAUGAAAUUUGUCAUUACUACCUCAUUCACUUUCAUUUAUUUUUGUCCCUUUUAUUUUCCUAUCUACUGUUAUGUAAAAGACUCUUUCUUGAGUAAUUACGAGUUCAAUUUACAAGAAUAUUGUCUGUUUUGAAUUCUAGAACUAGGCAACUUUUUCUUAAAUUCUCCAUCACUUCUUGAUGUCCAGAUUAAGUAUAGAAAAACUAUUGGGAACCCCAUCAGGAAUGAGGAGGAAGAGGAGGUUGUUGAAUUUCCUCUUGAUAAACAAUGUCCCAAAGUGUUGCAGAGAGAUUAUUCUGUGGAAAAAAACAUGUUGAUUUGCAGAAAACUAUUUUCUGCACAGAGAAUAGGUUUCCUAUGCAGAAAACAGGUUUUUCUCCCCUCCACAGAAUAAUUCCUGUGCAAUACUUCAGCAUGAUUAGAUAUGGGGAGACCACUGUGAAAGAAUAUUCAUUUUCUCUUGCGGUGGGGAGAAAACUAUAUUAUUUGUUCUCACCAAGAAAGACUAAGUAAUGGAAGAUUUGCAUUCCUGUUCCAGAUAUCAUCUCACAUUUUCGAUAACUUUGUUAGUAGCCUUCAAUUAUAGAGGCAGUGUUACCCAGCCUAGAGAAUCUGCAGUCCUCCAGGUGUUGAUGAAGUAUUAUACCCAUUAUCCCUCACCAUUGACCAGGCUGGGAAGGGCUAAUGGGAAUUACGAUUCCAAGCUAUCACUAGGUUAAAACAAAACUAUUUUAAUAAAAAAU